GAAAGCUUCCAAUCUCAUUUUAUCUCCAUUACUUUCUACACCAAAAUUGGGUCCCACAACCCGGUUCUUUGUCAGAGGAUAGCAGUUGAGUACUAGUGGUGGUCUCGGGUAGAAUUGGUAAGAAGACAUCAAACCUUUUGUAAGCUUCAAAGGUAAUACUUCUUAAAACCCUAAUUUGAUUAGUUUAUGGUUACAUGUUAAUUGUGGCAAUUAGGGUAGAAAUUCGAUUCUUUUUCCGCUGUGCAUGACUUAGUUCUAUCAUGCCUUAAAUAUCAAGAUAAUUAAAUUAUUAUUUUAAAAUUGGAAGAAACUCAACAUUAAAAAAUAUUAACUUGUUCGGACACAAGCAUAGAAGCACUGCGCACACACGUACACAUGCACACUUACACAAACGCGUGCACACGCACACCUACACAUAGACACCCACAGAUGCACGAACCCACGCACACACACAUGCACAAGCGCACGCACGCACACACACACGUAUCCACACGCACACAAGCACAUACACAUGCACAAACGCACACACGUGUACGCACAAACCUUAUCUCAAAAUAGUUCCUAUUUUUGCUGACAGUUUAUUUUUUGCCAUCGAUAGAGGAUCUUCCAAUAGACCUACGUGACAGUGUGUGUUGACAGCUUAAUUUCGUUGGCAAAAGAAAAGUUGAUUAGUUUUUGAAGAUUUACUGACGAUAUUUGUCAUCGACAAAGGGUAAAUUUCUUGGAGUGCAUGUACAUCAAACAUAUCAAAUUUGUUAAGUUUACCAAUGAAGUAUAACAAGUUUAUUAGUGGUGUAUCACGUGUAUCAAACUUAUAAGUGAAAUCUUUAAGUGUAUCAAACUAAUCAAGUGUAUCAAGGUCUCAGGGGUAUCAAGUGUAUCAAGAAGAAUCAAGUGUAACGAGAAGUAUUAUGUGGAACGAGAAGUAUUAUGUGUAUGAAGAUGUUUCAAGUGUGUAUCAAAAAGUAUCGAGUGUAUCAAUGAGUACCGAGUGCAUGAAUUGUAUCUAUCAAAUGUAUCAAGUGUAUCAGUAAGAAGUAUCAAGUGUAUCAAGGGGUAUUAGGUGUAUCAGACGUGUAUAAGGUGUAUCAAAUAUACAUCAAUAACGAGGGCAUUUGUGACAUUUUACCUCUUGAUGUGUGAGUUGGUCUUUGUUUUUGUCACUUUCUCAAAUAAUAAGGUAUGUGUUCUAUGGACUUAAUUAAUUAUAACUUAUUUUGCCAUUUUUGCAAGUGUCCCUUAAUUGUAAUACAUGUAUAUGUGACAUAAUAUAAUCAAACUAACUCAUAAAUGGACUUAAUCUAUCUCAUGGACCACAAAUUCUUCAAUUACUUGCAAAUUUGGUGAGUUCCUUCAAAUGGUGGGCGGAGAGCUUAAUUUUGAGAGAGAGGAAAAGUCGUGAAGAGUAUUUGCGAGAGAGGGGGGAACGUCGCCAAAGAGCAUUUGCGAGAGAGCUAAAGACAACGACGAUGUGGGAUGAAGUAAGGUUUUUUUCGGUCAUUGUUCACAAGUGGGAUGAAAGCUUCGAAUUAUUUGUUUUAAAUCAAAAGCGUAUGAUUGAAGGAAAACAUUGAUUUUUUAUUAGGGUAAUUUUUAAUGACACAUAAUUUAUGCCAUUAUUUACAAUGCCAAAAUUUUGUCAAGAAAACUCAAUUUGUGUCACAAAAAAUUUUGUAUUUUUAUUUUUAACGACACAUUUUAUUCCCUCAUAUCCCUUUUUCUUGAUUUCUAGUGUCAUUAAAACUUAUAUUUCUAAAUAAAUUUAUUCGACGAAAGUGGCUAGAUUGGUGGGUUCGACGGCGAAGGCUUGUUGGGCAGCAACGACAACAGUGGUUGGAGUGUGGAAUCGACGACGACAAGUGGCAAAAAAUUGAAAGGCAAGGGUUCUUCAUAACGACUCGGUAGCCCACUUCGUUCGACGAGAAUUUUUUUGCAUUUUUAGUAGAGUGAGAAAAAAAUUGCAUUAAGACUUCAUUCGACGACAUCGUUUUUGCUUAGAGAAAAUUUGAGGUUUUUACUUUGUUGUAAUUGCGUGAGAGAGGGAAAUUUUGAAAUUUUGAAAAUUUGAGGUUUUU
rnacentral:lncRNA from 1 species